rnacentral:rRNA from 1 species
AGUAAAAGUCGUAACAAGGUCUCCGUUGGUGAACCAGCGGAGGGAUCAUUACAGAGUUAUCCAACUCCCAAACCCAUGUGAACUUAUCUCUUUGUUGCCUCGGCGCAAGCUACCCGGGACCCAGCGCCCCGGGCGGCCCGCCGGCGGACAAACCAAAACUCUUGUUAUCUUAGUUGAUUAUCUGAGCGUCUUAUUUAAUAAGUCAAAACUUUCAACAACGGAUCUCUUGGUUCUGGCAUCGAUGAAGAACGCAGCGAAAUGCGAUAAGUAAUGUGAAUUGCAGAAUUCAGUGAAUCAUCGAAUCUUUGAAUGCACAUUGCGCCCAUUAGUAUUCUAGUGGGCAUGCCUGUUCGAGCGUCAUUUCAACCCCUAAGCACAGCUUACUGUUGGGACUCUACGGCCCCCGUAGUUCCCCAAAGCCAUUGGCGGAGUGGCAGUAGUCCUCUGAGCGUAGUAAUUCUUUAUCUCGCUUUUGUUAGGCGCUGCCCCCCCGGCCGUUAAACCCCCCAAUUUUUUCUGGUUGACCUCGGAUCAGGUAGGAAUACCCGCUGAACUUAAGCAUAUCAAUAAGCGGAGGAAAAGAAACCAACAGGGAUUGCCCUAGUAACG